rnacentral:lncRNA from 1 species
GACGGAGACAGGGCAGAAGCAGGCUGGUUCCUCUGGCUGUCAGAGAGCAGAAGGGAGGCUGGAGGGUUGAACAGAGAGGGGCUCAGGGUCAGAGAGUGGUAGUCACCCCUUUACUGUGGGUGGGGAUCAUGCCACACACAUACACAACACGUGCAUACACACCACACAUACAUUCAUACACACACGCACCAUGCCCUCACAUAUAUACACACACAUGCAUAGAGGCACACACACAUACACCACACACAUACACCACACAGACAUCACAACACGUGGAUACACACCACACACAUUUAUACAUAUGCACCAUGCCCUCACACAUACACAUAUGUGCAUACACACAUAUACACAUAUACCAUACACUCACACAUAUCACACACAACACAUGCAUACAUGCACACAUUCACACACACAUAACACCAUGCCUUCACACAUAUAUACACACGUGCAUACACACACAUACCACACAGCACACACAUAUCACAUACAACACAUGCAUACAUGACACACAUACACACUAUGCCCUCACACAUAUACACAUAUGUGCAUACACACUUACACCACACACAGAUCAUGCACAACACGUGCAUAUACACCACACACAUUUAUAUACACACACCACCCCACAUACGUAUAUACACGCAUGCGUCUACACGCACACAUACCACACACUCACAUACACCACACACACAUAUACACAACAUGUGCAUACAUGCUGCACACACAUUUAUAUAACACACAUCAUGCCCACAGGCAUAUAUACACACGUGCAUACACGCACACAUACUACACACUCGCAUACACCACACAUACAUAUACACAACACGUGCAUACACGCUGCACACACAUUGUUC